AUACGGAGGGUGCAAGCGUUAUCCGGAAUCAUUGGGUUUAAAGGGUCCGCAGGCGGAUUAAUAAGUCAGUGGUGAAAUCCUCUCGCUCAACGAGAGAACUGCCAUUGAAACUGUUAGUCUUGAAUUCGGUCGAAGUGGGCGGAAUGUGUCAUGUAGCGGUGAAAUGCAUAGAUAUGCCACAGAACACCGAUAGCGAAGGCAGCUUACUAGACCUGGAUUGACGCUCAUGGACGAAAGCGUGGGGAGCGAACAGGAUUAGAAACCCUAGUAGUCC
rnacentral:rRNA from 1 species